GACAAUCUACAUAAAAAUAGCAGUUAUGUGUAGCCACGACUUUCCUCGUUUGUUGUGUUUUGAAAGUGAAAGACAAAAUAAAAAUGCAUACACAGAAAGAAAAUGAAGCAAGAUACGCCUCUCAUAGUUUACCACUAAUUUGAUUGACCUUGUCCUUCAGCUGUGUACUUCACCUCUUCGGACUCCACACAAAAGAGGUGGUACAAAGCUCCGAGGGCAAAGUGCAAUAGAUUUUUUUUUUCUGUUUUGCUCUCAAGCUGCCAAAUCCUCCUUACAUCACUGCUGAUGUAAGGGCUGACUUCAUCCACUUCCUGUCAACGCUUCAUGGAGGGAAGCAAGAGAAAAGCCCCUGAUCUUAAGGUAGCUGUGCUCACACCUGCCUGGUGCCGUGAUUUGGAGCUGACGGCGCUCCUCUUAGUGGCUCUGUUGAGACUGAAGAGGUGAGCGGAUGCUGGAUGAAGGGUCCAGAGGUAAUUACCCUGUCUACUAUCUCGUUCACCACACACACACACACAGACACGCACGCACACACUGCUGAUGGC